GACGAACGCUGGCGGCGUGCUUAACACAUGCAAGUCGAACGGAAAGGCCCUGCCUUUGUGGGGUGCUCGAGUGGCGAACGGGUGAGUAACACGUGAGUAACCUGCCCUUCACUUUGGGAUAACCUCAGGAAACUGGGUCUAAUACCGGAUAGGAGCUCCUGCUGCAUGGUGGGGGUGGGAAAGUUUCGGCGGUUGGGGAUGGACUCGCGGCCUAUCAGCUUGUUGGUGGGGUAGUGGAUUACCAUGGCCUGGAGGGGUAGCCGGCCUGAGAGGGGGACCGGCCAAGUUGGAACGGGGCUACGGCCCGGCCUCGACUGGGAGGCAACGGUGGGGAGGGUUGCACAGUGGGAGGAGCCCUAGUCCGGCAACGCCGGGUGGGGGAUGUGGGCCUUGGGGUAGGAAACCAAUGCCCUCUGUGCCGAGACGUGAGUGACGGUAAUGGGUAAAGAAGCACCGGCUAACUACGUG
rnacentral:rRNA from 1 species